UGAGAGACGCGCAGGGACCUGGAUUGGCCAGUCCAGACUAGCCCUGCCAAAAAAGGGGCCUCUGAGUUGGGGUAAUGUGCCCAGGAGCAGAGAUUCGGCGACCGUGGCGCUGCAAUCGCAGCUUUCCCGUGGUUUCCUAAGUGGUCGCGGUGAUUUGUUUGCGGGGAGCGAGGCGUGAGGGAAGACCUUGGUUAAAGGACUCCGCAGGCAAACAACGAUCUUUUCUAGGCAGCUACUGCCCUCUCGGAGGGGGAGUCUAUGAGAGGCCUGGCUGGAAGCCCCAGCACCCGCCCGGCGCUGGGCCUCAGAGAAGUGAGGCGUCGUCGUGGCAACGCGGGCUCAGUUAAGAAAGAGAUGAGAAAGAUGGAAGAAUGAUGUGGAUAUGGAGAAGAGAAUGAUGCAGAAGAUGAACAGAUACAGGGACAGGGAAAGCGCCUGGAAAUCUCAAAUCUGGGGGAAGAAAGAGAAACAGGACUUUGUAAUGGCAUCCUAAUCUUGUUACCAAACAAACGGGGUUUGUUGCCCUAUAUGCACAGAAGCCAAUAUUAUGAUGCUGGUUUUUUGAGAAAAGUUGUUAUUGCGAGUCAACUAACAAGGAGACAGGAGUAUAGCUCUAAUCUGUCUCCCUGUGCUGGCUUUAAGACAGUAUUUUUAUUAGAAAAGGUUUAGGGAAUGGAUUCUGGGAUUAGUAAAUGAUUGGUGGAAGGAAAGAAGCCAUCUGGAAAAUCUUUUGGCGUUCGCGGUUACCUCUUCAUGUCCCUUCAUGGGUCGCAUGUGCAAAUUUUGGAGGGAGUCAGUAUGAAACAUGGGGGAAGACUCGAGCUGUAACGCCAGCAAGCUCAUUUUGUACAGACUUCAGGUAGCCAUCCGUGUUAGUCCUAACCAAUUUCAGCCAGUUUGCUUUAUUUUGUUUUUUAAUCUCACAAUAGAAGAAGUUUAGGCGUUUUAGCAAAUUGUUUUUUAUCUGCUGUCCUGCACGCUCAAGAAUUUCUGUUAGUCCCUGGUUUAACUCUGA